rnacentral:rRNA from 1 species
AGCGCAGGCGGACCGGCAAGUUGGAAGUGAAAACUAUGGGCUCAACCCACUAAAUUGCUUUCAAAACUGCUGGCCUUGAGUAGUGCAGAGGUAGGUGGAAUUCCCGGUGUAGCGGUGGAAUGCGUAGAUAUCGGGAGGAACACCAGUGGCGAAGGCGACCUACUGGGCACCAACUGACGCUGAGGCUCGAAAGCAUGGGUAGCAAACA